AGUGAACGCUGGCGGUAGGCCUAACACAUGCAAGUCGAACGGCAGCACAGGAGAGCUUGCUCUCUGGGUGGCGAGUGGCGGACGGGUGAGGAAUACAUCGGAAUCUACUCUGUCGUGGGGGAUAACGUAGGGAAACUUACGCUAAUACCGCAUACGACCUACGGGUGAAAGCAGGGGACCUUCGGGCCUUGCGCGAUGGAAUGAGCCGAUGUCGGAUUAGCUAGUUGGCGGGGUAAAGGCCCACCAAGGCGACGAUCCGUAGCUGGUCUGAGAGGAUGAUCAACCACACUGGAACUGAGACACGGUCCAGACUCCUACGGGAGGCAGCAGUGGGGAAUAUUGGACAAUGGGCGCAAGCCUGAUCCAGCCAUACCGCGUGGGUGAAGAAGGCCUUCGGGUUGUAAAGCCCUUUUGUUGGGAAAGAAAUCCAGCUGGCUAAUACCCGGUUGGGAUGACGGUACCCAAAGAACAAGCACCGGCUAACUUCGUGCCAGCCGCCGCCGUAA
rnacentral:rRNA from 1 species